UCGAGUUGUGUUCAUCGAUAACCAAAACAGCGGCUUCCUGCUCUCCCCUGCAAACGCAACAGAGUCUUGCUUUGAGCUCCCCAACUUUUCACCCACCAUCACAGGAGUGCUCUGGGACAACUGGCAUGCAGGCAGAGGGGUGUUUGUAGCCUAUGAUGAUGACCAAGUCUACACCUAUGCCCUGCAUGAAACCACCAUCUAUGGCCCACAGGUGGUGUUAGUAGGGAGCACCGCGCUCCCCUUUUCCCAGAAGCCUCUGCUCUUUGACAAUGGUGAGCUGACCUGUCAAAUGUCGUGCGGUAAAA